rnacentral:lncRNA from 1 species
UUCCAUCCCAUCCAAAGGCUCUUUUCAGAGCCACCCACGACGGCACCUGAAAGAAGCUGUGCCACUCGUCUUCGCUCUCUCCCGGCCGACGCUCAUACUCUACCACCUCCCCUGUACAAAGCAGACCCCCCCCCCCCAACACCGCGCGGAUGAGGCACCAGAACCGGGUAAAGCUGAGGAUCUCCCGGCAGGAACCUUAAGGAAGAAGCGGCGGUGGGAAGAUGGACCGGGAUUCAAAGGCCUCCUCAACACGACACCACUCCCCGGGAGCUCCGCCUGGUCGGUAUCCUUCCCUGCUCACGCCCACAGCAGGAGACUCGCGAUUCUUCCAGGAGGACAACCCCACAUGCAGAGACAUUUGAGGAGUUUUGUGCAGGUACUUGAGUUAUUCAGCGCGGGGGCGCUCAGUAGUUCAAGCUCUCGGGCGGCUGGAACCAAGGGAAGGCAGAGCACGCCCUGCUCCCUUCCCCUCCUUGCCCACGUCUGUCUGCCCCAGCAUCUGUGCGGGCGGAGGCUUGAGUUUCUCUCCGAGGGGCCACUCUUAUUACACCAGAUGAAAUGGAAGUCUUCACGCCUCUCGGGGUCUUAGAAAUGAGUCUGUUUACCUAGAAGAGUGGGGCAGGACCUCGGGAAGCUGGCAUUACAGGAGCAAGAACUCAAACACCAGCGGCUGUGUGCGUCUCAGAUGACACCCCUCUUAUCCUUGAAUCGUCGUUUAUGUACACCCGGAAGAGACCAGAGUUGGUGGUUUCGUUCACACAGAGAUUGGUGAAAAUUCACUGAGGGGAACAGAAACAGGCAGAGAUAACUUUUGAAAACUUUUGCCCUUUGCAAGGAGUGUGGGAGGAAAGAAAGAGAGAGAGGAAGGAAGG